UGUAGACCACUGGUGAUUUGUCGAAGAUUCGGUACCAUUCGAUUAAGAAUUCUACGAGUUAAUGAGCUUAACUUGAAGACAGUCUGUAAACAAUUUGAAGACGAAAUAUAAGAUUGACUGUAGACCACUGGUGAUUUGUCGAAGAUUCGGUACCAUUCGAUUAAGAAUUCUACGAGUUAAUGAGCUUAACUUGAAGACAGUCUGUAAACAAUUUGAAGACGAAAUAUAAGAUUGACUGUAGACCACUGGUGAUUUGUCGAAGAUUCGGUACCAUUCGAUUAAGAAUUCUACGAGUUAAUGAGCUUAACUUGAAGACAGUCUGUAAACAAUUUGAAGACGAAAUAUAAGAUUGACUGUAGACCACUGGUGAUUUGUCGAAGAUUCGGUACCAUUCGAUUAAGAAUUCUACGAGUUAAUGAGCUUAACUUGAAGACAGUCUGUAAACAAUUUGAAGACGAAAUAUAAGAUUGACUGUAGACCACUGGUGAUUUGUCGAAGAUUCGGUACCAUUCGAUUAAGAAUUCUACGAGUUAAUGAGCUUAACUUGAAGACAGUCUGUAAACAAUUUGAAGACGAAAUAUAAGAUUGACUGUAGACCACUGGUGAUUUGUCGAAGAUUCGGUACCAUUCGAUUAAGAAUUCUACGAGUUAAUGAGCUUAACUUGAAGACAGUCUGUAAACAAUUUGAAGACGAAAU